UUGAUAGCAAAGAAAAACUAUUUCUUCUAUAUGUCUUAUAAAUGUAAAAACCACGCUGCUGUGCAGGGCCGUCUCUGGGCCGAGUGAGUCUUCGACACGAUCGCCAUGGCGCAGAGCAGAAGAAGCUGCGCAGAUGUGCUCAUCGAGAAACGCGCUCUCCUUCGUUAAUGGGUAGAUAGAUAAGUCCGAUGUGGCAUUGAUGAUAAAGAUGGAUGGCUAAACAGUAGAGGGGGUUCGGGGUCUCUUUAAGAGGCGAAUGUGUAAACUGGCUCGAGGCGAGCUGGGUGUCGACAGGCCGGUCGGCCGUGAAGUCUGUGCCUCAAAUGUUGGCUUUUAUGUGCUGGAUUUGUGUUCUUUUAAAGGGACUUUUAAGUAUUUCUGUAUGUGUGUACUAAGACUCCGGUGACUCAACUAAUUGUAACUUUUUUGUUUUUAGAUACAAUGGGGCUUGUCACGUUUUUUUCUUUGCUCUUUUUACGAUGUCGUAUUGUUCGAUUGACUCGCUCUGUCUUUUUGCUGUACUGUUUAUAGAUUCUGAUUUUUUUUCCCCUGUUUAUUAUCACUUCACAUUUUUAUUGGCGCUUUUUGGAGUUUUAUUGCAUGUUACGAAGUUCAUUUGUAUUCAUAGAAGCCUUGCCGUGUCGUAUUGUAUUUAGUUACCUGUUGUCUGUAAUGUUAUGUAUAUGAUUCUCUCUGAUGACAUUUGUUUUCAAUGCCGGACUUGUGCUACGACCACAUAACCCUUUUAAUUUUUGCUGUCCAUGUGCUCUAUGGGCGCCGCUAAGAUUCGCGCAGAUGGAGAAAGGCCGCCGGUUUUUUUCUUUUUGAGCCAAACAAGACCCGCCAGAGACUGGCUGACCAAUAAGAACGUGGGACUUUCAGUGACGUCAUGGAGCGAGCGCGCCUCAUGAGCACGUGACCGGAGCGUUUGCCACAAGCCACAAAGCUGCGCUUCCAGCUGUUGAAAGCCAUUUUAGCGUCUGCUCCCCACGCUUCAUAUCCCCAGCGCUUGGAAAGCGCGACGUGUCAGGAGUGAGCAGCCCAUCGCUUAUUGUCUGCUCUGCUGGACGGAGGGAAUAAUGACGGCGCUGUGAGCCGCUCCCGUCAUCGGACACAAAUCCGGCUCAACCGCAGCUGUUUUGACUCUCUGGACAGUGGCUUGGUGAAGUAAGCCACUGUCAGUAAGGACACAUCGGGAUGGCUGCGUGGCAUCUUCGGAUAGCCGCCAGUCAGGAUUACAGGUGUUGGGGCAGACGCCGAGUACCAGCUGACCUACCGGUGAAGUAAGAGCGGGGCGGUCAAGUCUGAAAACGUGAACCAUGAAGACCAGAUUCUGCAAAUCCUAUGGGUGUCUGGUGGAGCCCUUUGAUGGACCAACAUGCAGUCUAAGAUGGAACUGUAAUUGGCAUGUGUGGCUAAUGGCACAGGUGAAGAAGCUGAAUACAGAAGGUAGAUUGUGUGUGUGUAUAUAUAUA